rnacentral:rRNA from 1 species
GAUGAACGCUAGCGGCAGGCUUAACACAUGCAAGUCGAGGGGCAGCGAGAGAGUAGCAAUACUUUUGUCGGCGACCGGCGGACGGGUGCGUAACGCGUAUGCAACCUACCUUAUACAGGGGGAUAACCUUUCGAAAGGGAGACUAAUACCGCAUAACAUUACUUUGAGGCAUCUUGAGGUAAUUAAAUCUUCGGAGGUAUAAGAUGGGCAUGCGUAGCAUUAGCUAGAUGGUGCGGUAACGGCGUACCAUGGCGACGAUGCUUAGGGGUUCUGAGAGGAAGGUCCCCCACACUGGUACUGAGAUACGGACCAGACUCCUACGGGAGGCAGCAGUGAGGAAUAUUGGUCAAUGGUCGGAAGACUGAACCAGCCAAGUAGCGUGAAGGAUGAAGGUUCUAUGGAUUGUAAACUUCUUUUAUACGGGAAUAAAACCUCCCACGUGUGGGAGCUUGUAUGUACCGUAUGAAUAAGCAUCGGCUAACUCCGUG